rnacentral:tRNA from 1 species
GGGCUGUUAGCUCAGUUGGUUUAGUCCGCCAGCUGGCGGAUGACAGGGUGGCGUCACUGGUUCGAAUCCAGUACAGAUGG